UACGAAGGGGGCUAGCGUUGCUCGGAAUUACUGGGCGUAAAGCGCACGUAGGCGGAUUUGUAAGUCAGGGGUGAAAUCCCGGGGCUCAACCCCGGAACUGCCUUUGAUACUGCGAAUCUCGAGUCCGGAAGAGGUGAGUGGAAUUCCUAGUGUAGAGGUGAAAUUCGUAGAUAUUAGGAAGAACACCAGUGGCGAAGGCGGCGACCUGGUCCGAUACUGACGCUGAGGCGCGAAAGCGUGGGGAGCAAACAGG
rnacentral:rRNA from 1 species